rnacentral:tRNA from 1 species
GGGUCGUUAGCUCAGUUGGUAGAGCAGCUGACUCUUAAUCAGCGGGUCACAGGUUCGAAUCCUGUACGACCCACCA